GAUGAACGCUAGCGGCAGGCUUAACACAUGCAAGUCGAGGGGCAGCAUAAUAAGUUAGCAAUAACUUAUGGUGGCGACCGGCGGACGGGUGCGUAACGCGUAUGCAACUUACCUUAUACGAGGGGAUAAUUCGGGGAAACCUGGUCUAAUACCCUAUAACAUCAUGAUCGGCAUCGGUUUUGGUUAAAAGAUUUAUCGGUAUAAGAUGGGCAUGCGUUGUAUUAGAUAGUUGGUAGGGUAACGGCCUACCAAGUCAACGAUACAUAGGGGGACUGGGAGGUUAACCCCCCACACUGGUACUGAGACACGGACCAGACUCCUACGGGAGGCAGCAGUGAGGAAUAUUGGUCAAUGGGCGCAAGCCUGAACCAGCCAUGCCGCGUGCAGGAAGACGGCUCUAUGAGUUGUAAACUGCUUUUGUACGAGGGUAAUAGCACCUACGUGUAGGUGUUUGAAAGUAUCGUACGAAUAAGGAUCGGCUAACUCCGUGCCAGCAGCCGCCGUAAGAC
rnacentral:rRNA from 1 species